rnacentral:rRNA from 1 species
UACGAAGGGGGCUAGCGUUGCUCGGAUUGACUGGGCGUAAAGGGCGCGUAGGCGGUUCGUACAGUCAGACGUGAAAUUCCUGGGCUCAACCUGGGGGCUGCGUUUGAUACGUGCGGACUUGAGUGCGGAAGAGGGUCGUGGAAUUCCCAGUGUAGAGGUGAAAUUCGUAGAUAUUGGGAAGAACACCGGUGGCGAAGGCGGCGACCUGGUCCGAUACUGAUGCUGAGGCGCGAAAGCGUGGGGAGCGAACAGG